rnacentral:rRNA from 1 species
ACAGAGAUGGCGACCGUUGUUCGGAAUCACUGGGCUUAAAGGGUACGUAGGCGGGGACGUAAGUCGGUUGUGAAAUACCAUGGCUUACCCAUGGAAAGUCAAUCGAAACUGCGACUCUUGAGUGCGGUAGGGGAGAGUGGAACUUUUGGUGGAGCGGUGAAAUGCGUUGAUAUCAGAAGGAACGCCGGAGGCGAAAGCGACUCUCUAGACCGCUACUGACGCUGAGGUACGAAAGCCAGGGGAGCAAACGG